AACGGCCCACCAGAGCACACGGCGGCGCGGCCCAGCCCAACCACUCCCAAGGGCGGCGCGAGCGCGACCUAGCCGCCACGCGGCGAAUCCUCUCCUCCCCUGCGCGGCGAAUCGUGGCCGCGCCGCCACCCGUCGUCCAACGUCGCCGUCGGCGAGGGAGGCCGGCCGUCGCUCUCCGAGUACGGGCGUGCACCGGGGACCCGGGGGCUGAAAUGCCUUCAGAUCUGAGAGAUAAGGGCAUCUCAAGAUGAAAGAAUGUCCCUGCUGAGUAGUAAUCAGGCAAUGAAGACUGAAGACUAAGUGAAGACGAAAGACUGGUUGAACCAAAUCAACAAGGCACAAUUUAUUAAAGGUGAAGGUGGGACGUACGUGUAGGCAUGUGCAGCGACACCUCUGGGUCGCCGGCGAAGAACUUGACAUCCGUCUGGUACCACAGGCUGCAUCGCAUCCCGAGCACCGCGCCACCCGUCAGGCCACCGCCGACCAUCUUCUUCCCUUCGUCGAUGAUGCCGUCCAGGCAACUCCGGCAAUUCUCCGGCGGCAUGCCGUCCGUGCACUGCGCCAGCGCAUACACCGUCUGGCUCUUGAGGUCGAACCACCCCCUGCCCGUCAAGUAGUUGACCGGCCGUCUACUCACCACGGCUGCAGCGAUCUUCUCCAUGAGCUCAGAGAAAAGCUGGCUGAACUGCGCGCGAUCAGCAUCCGGCGGAGGGUUCAGGUAAGCGCUCACAGUGCACUCCGGCGCGUUGCUGAAGCUGGAGAUGAAAUCCUUGUCGGAGAAGCUUAGCAGGGCCUGGAAAUCAUGGUCGUACAAGGUGACAUUCUUCUGGUUCUGAAAGUAGCCAGAGUCAUCGCCACUAGUUCCAUUGAUGCUGGCCGUGUCAAGCACUCUCUGGAGGCGGGUAGCGCAGCUCUCGGCGGAGGAGUCCCCCCGGCAGAGCACGGCGCCGUAUACUGUGUCAGGACCGGCCGCCCCGGCUGUGCCGUUGGCAGAGUGCAGCUGCGUCUGGUUGACAUUGGUGAUCAGGUUUUUGGCGAGCUGGAGCAGGUUGGUCUUGUAGGUGCCCUCUGGCAUGUGUGUGAUGGUGUUCGCGUUGCUGCAGAAGGGAAGCUGUUUAGCUACCAACAGAUUCGGGGUAGAGAGGAGAAGCAUUAGGAGGGAAACGAUCAGCAUCUGCAUGUUUGAGGCUUUUUCUUCUGCAGGGAGCUUGUGGAAUUGUGAUGCGUAUGGAACAUGGCUUGGAUGAGUGCAUAUUCUUAAGUACUGUUUGGUUGGUGUCUCGUUUUGUCAGGACAAAGUUUUUAGUUUCAGUAGAACGAAAGUGACUUCGGCUCUAGCUUGGACUUUGAGUAAUUUAAGUGGACUAGUCCAAACUAAACGAGAUUGGAAAGUGUGGUGAAAUUUCAGAGAAUACUAAAUUUGUCUACUGGGUUCUCUUUUGGUUG